rnacentral:snRNA from 1 species
GUCCUCACUUUGGCAGCACAUUUACUAAAACUGGAAGCAUGCAGGGAAGAUGAUUAGCACAGUAUCUGUGCAAAGAUGGCACACAAGUUCGUAAAGCGUUCCAUAUUGUA